rnacentral:rRNA from 1 species
UACAGAGGGUGCGAGCGUUAAUCGGAAUUACUGGGCGUAAAGCGUGCGUAGACGGUUAUUUAAGUCGGGUGUGAAAGCCCCGGGCUCAACCUGGGAAUUGCAUUCGAGACUGAAUAGCUAGGGUACGGUAGAGGGAAGCGGAAUUUCCGGUGUAGCGGUGAAAUGCGUAGAUAUCAGGAGGAACACCGGUGGCGAAGGCGGGUCUCUGGGCCGAUACUGACGCUGAGCCGCGAAAGCCAGGGGAGCGAACGGG